ACGCGAUUAGAUGAGCCGAUGUCGGAUUAGCUUGUUGGUGGGGUAAAAGCCCACCAAGGCGACGAUCCGUAGCUGGUCUGAGAGGAUGAUCAGCCACACUGGAACUGAGACACGGUCCAG
rnacentral:rRNA from 1 species